GACGAACGCUGGCGGCGUGCCUAAUACAUGCAAGUCGAGCGAAGUUUUUCUGGUGCUUGCCCUAGAAAAACUUAGCGGCGAACGGGUGAGUAACACGUAAAGAACCUGCCUCAUAGACUGGGACAACUAUUGGAAACGAUAGCUAAUACCGGAUAACAGUAUUUCUCGCAUGAGAGAUAUUUAAAAGUUGGUUAUACUAACACUAUGAGAUGGCUUUGCGGUGCAUUAGCUAGUUGGUGGGGUAAAGGCCCACCAAGGCGACGAUGCAUAGCCGACCUGAGAGGGUGAUCGGCCACACUGGGACUGAGACACGGCCCAGACUCCUACGGGAGGCAGCAGUAGGGAAUCUUCCGCAAUGGGCGAAAGCCUGACGGAGCAACGCCGCGUGAGUGAAGAAGGAUUUCGGUUCGUAAAGCUCUGUUGUUAGGGAAGAAUGGAUAUGUAGUAACUAUACAUGUAAGAGACGGUACCUAACCAGAAAGCCACGGCUAACUACGUG
rnacentral:rRNA from 1 species